rnacentral:rRNA from 1 species
AGUAGCAACUCCUACGGGAGGCAGCAGUGGGGAAUAUUGCACAAUGGGCGCAAGCCUGAUGCAGCCAUGCCGCGUGUAUGAAGAAGGCCUUCGGGUUGUAAAGUACUUUCAGCAGUGAGGAAGGUGGAUAUGUUAAUAGCAUAUUCAUUUGACGUUAGCUGCAGAAGAAGCACCGGCUAACUCCGUGCCAGCAGCCGCGGUAAUACGGAGGGUGCGAGCGUUAAUCGGAAUUACUGGGCGUAAAGCGCAUGCAGGUGGUUUGUUAAGUCAGAUGUGAAAGCCCGGGGCUCAACCUCGGAAUUGCAUUUGAAACUGGCAAACUAGAGUACUGUAGAGGGGGUAGAAUUUCAGGUGUAGCGGUGAAAUGCGUAGAGAUCUGAAGGAAUACCGGUGGCGAAGGCGGCCCCCUGGACAGAUACUGACACUCAGAUGCGAAAGCGUGGGGAGCAAACAGGAUUAGAUACCCUGGUAG